GAAUCUAGUAGUUAUGUUUGAUAUCCUCUGAAAAAUUCUCCAGUGUAGCAGAGGACUCCAAGUCUAAAAUUUAACCAUUUUUCCCAAAAGUUUAAUUUCCAUGGCUUGAUUUCAUAAAAAGCAAUUUUCAUCAUGAUUUUUAGGUGGUCAUAAUUGAAAGAGAAAUUUCUCCCCCUGAGAGAGUCUCUGAAGAUAGCUGUCUUUGACACUGAUGCAUCUCCCUCUUGGCCAGAAGCCACAGAGAUGGGUCCCCCCUCAUGUUAGGUCAUUAAUUGUUCUUCUCCAGGUCUGCACACACUAAGCUGAGAACCAAGGCAAUUAUGCAAUUAAGUCAAGCAAAAAAACGAUGCUCGUGCUCCAAUGAGCCACAAUUUUAGUUGACAGUUGCUUUGACUUGACUUGUCCUGAUAAUUGCUUUAAGUCCUCCAUGACCCUCCAAUAGAAUGUGUGAGCUCCAUUAGAAAGUGUAUGAUUUGCAGGGGAUGGUGUGCCACUAUCUUCUUACAAAAUAGUGAGGAAUGUAUAUUGAUGUCCUUUGUUUGAGUCAAAUAUAAUCUAUGUUAGUGGGAAUUUCCCCAGAAGCUGACCCUGAGACAGGAACCCAAAUGAAAUAGCUUAUCCUGAAGUGAUUCUAGGGAGCAUUGGUAGAGAGAUGGGAAAAUAAAACCACAAAUUACCUCUGUGGGUAAGGAUCUUACUCCUACAGGGCAAAUCUGAGAACCAGAAUAGAACUCUGCUUAGAAUUCCACCUGAGGUUAAUACACAGACUCCCAAGAGUCAUUGUUUAGUGCCUUGACUGGGAACAUUAACACUUUAGCACUUGGGACAGAUUGGGCUUCAAUUUGCAGGGAAAGCUGUCAAGCAAAGAGAGGCAAAUACUGGCCUGGUAGCCUGGCUGGCAGGCACUGCAAAUAUAAAUCCCAAAGGUAUAUGGAUGGGGCACCAACUAUACUUCCAGUCCUCCUCAGGCCAAAAGACCUCAGGAUUUGACAUUCCAGAUCUGGCUCCACCUUUCUUUUAUUCUCUACUUUCAGAACCAAUCCAGAUGUUUGGACAUGAACAUUCACCUUGUUAUUUUCCUGGAGGAGAACUCUUAGCAGCUGCCUGCUGAACCAUGAAGAAACUUAAAAUAGCGAUGAUCUCCCUUCCAUGCUGCCUCUUUCCCCCCAUAGAACCCGCAAGCCAAUCUGCGGUGUUUAUACUCAAGGCCAUAUGAAGCUAAUCUGUAUGGAAAUAAAGGAUAGAAAUAUUCAGAUUGAGUUUUACUAAGUGAACCUGAGGUUUUUCUGUUCAGCAAAAUAGGCCAGGUAAAUGCGUUUCUGAUACAGAAUAAAUCACUUGUUUGAAGACCUAUAUUUCCCUUCUGCCAUUUUGCUUAGAAGUGGAGAAUUCACAGUCCUCUACGUAGCCUGUAAAAAGCACAGGUCUCUCUUCUCUCCCCACUCCACCCCUCCCCAGUAGGUAGUUUCCUGAGCUGAACUCAUCUUUCCAUUAGGGUCUGAAAGCCCUACUCUCCCAGCCUAGGGCUUGAGGUGCCCAGGUUCUUUGCAAAGAGCCAAAGAAGAAAGAGGGAAGAAAAAGAGUCAGGGAUACAUUUACAGAGCACCUUCUAUGCCAGAUCCCAAGGCUUCACUCAGGGAAUCUCUAACGUGAAAAACACAGUCUCUGGCCUUGGGCAAUAGAGUAAUGCCACACAUUUAUCAUUGUGAAGGCAAAGAUUAAGACAUGUACAGAAGUGCCUCGGGAGAACAUAGGAA
rnacentral:lncRNA from 1 species